rnacentral:rRNA from 1 species
CCUACGGGAGGCAGCAGUGGGGAAUAUUGGACAAUGGGGGCAACCCUGAUCCAGCCAUGCCGCGUGUGUGAAGAAGGCCCGAGGGUUGUAAAGCACUUUUAGUAAGGAGGAAGGUUAGAUAGUUAAUACCUGUUUAGCUUGACGUUACUUACAGAAAAAGCACCGGCUAACUCUGUGCCAGCAGCCGCGGUAAUACAGAGGGUGCAAGCGUUAUUCGGAAUUACUGGGCGUAAAGCGCGCGUAGGCGGAUUGUUAAGUCAGUUGUGAAAGCCCUGGGCUCAACCUAGGAAUGGCGAUUGAAACUGGCAGUCUAGAGUUUAGUAGAGGGAAGGGGAAUUUCUGGAGUAGCAGUGAAAUGCGUAGAUAUCAGAAGGAACAUCAGUGGCGAAGGCGCCUUCCUGGACUAAAACUGACGCUGAGGUGCGAAAGCGUGGGGAGC